rnacentral:tRNA from 1 species
UUUCAUCUGGCAGAUAAAUGUGACAAAUUUAGGAUUUGUAGAUAAAUAUAAAAUUUGGUGGAAA